GACGAACGCUGGCGGCGUGCUUAACACAUGCCAGUCGAACGGAAAGGCCCUGCUUUUGUGGGGUGCUCGAGUGGCGAACGGGUGAGUAACACGUGAGUAACCUGCCCUUGACUUUGGGAUAACUUCAGGAAACUGGGGCUAAUACCGGAUAGGAGCUCCUGCUGCAUGGUGGGGGUUGGAAAGUUUCGGCGGUUGGGGAUGGACUCGCGGCUUAUCAGCUUGUUGGUGGGGUAGUGGCUUACCAAGGCUUUGACGGGUAGCCGGCCUGAGAGGGUGACCGGCCACAUUGGGACUGAGAUACGGCCCAGACUCCUACGGGAGGCAGCAGUGGGGAAUAUUGCACAAUGGGCGGAAGCCUGAUGCAGCAACGCCGCGUGCGGGAUGACGGCCUUCGGGUUGUAAACCGCUAUCGCCUGUGACGAAGCGUGAGUGACGGUAAUGGGUAAAGAAGCACCGGCUAACUACGUG
rnacentral:rRNA from 1 species